rnacentral:tRNA from 1 species
CGUUCGGAUCGUUCGGGCGUUCGGAUCGUUCGGAUCGUUCCUGUUCGGAACGUUCGAACGUUCUGAACGAUCCCGAACGA